rnacentral:rRNA from 1 species
UUUAUGGAGAGUUUGAUCCUGGCUCAGGAUGAACGCUGGCGGCGUGCCUAAUACAUGCAAGUCGAGCGAACGGACGAGAAGCUUGCUUCUCUGAUGUUAGCGGCGGACGGGUGAGUAACACGUGGAUAACCUACCUAUAAGACUGGGAUAACUUCGGGAAACCGGAGCUAAUACCGGAUAAUAUUUUGAACCGCAUGGUUCAAAAGUGAAAGACGGUCUUGCUGUCACUUAUAGAUGGAUCCGCGCUGCAUUAGCUAGUUGGUAAGGUAACGGCUUACCAAGGCAACGAUGCAUAGCCGACCUGAGAGGGUGAUCGGCCACACUGGAACUGAGACACGGUCCAGACUCCUACGGGAGGCAGCAGUAGGGAAUCUUCCGCAAUGGGCGAAAGCCUGACGGAGCAACGCCGCGUGAGUGAUGAAGGUCUUCGGAUCGUAAAACUCUGUUAUUAGGGAAGAACAUAUGUGUAAGUAACUGUGCACAUCUUGACGGUACCUAAUCAGAAAGCCACGGCUAACUACGUGCCAGCAGCCGCGGUAAUACGUAGGUGGCAAGCGUUAUCCGGAAUUAUUGGGCGUAAAGCGCGCGUAGGCGGUUUUUUAAGUCUGAUGUGAAAGCCCACGGCUCAACCGUGGAGGGUCAUUGGAAACUGGAAAACUUGAGUGCAGAAGAGGAAAGUGGAAUUCCAUGUGUAGCGGUGAAAUGCGCAGAGAUAUGGAGGAACACCAGUGGCGAAGGCGACUUUCUGGUCUGUAACUGACGCUGAUGUGCGAAAGCGUGGGGAUCAAACAGGAUUAGAUACCCUGGUAGUCCACGCCGUAAACGAUGAGUGCUAAGUGUUAGGGGGUUUCCGCCCCUUAGUGCUGCAGCUAACGCAUUAAGCACUCCGCCUGGGGAGUACGACCGCAAGGUUGAAACUCAAAGGAAUUGACGGGGACCCGCACAAGCGGUGGAGCAUGUGGUUUAAUUCGAAGCAACGCGAAGAACCUUACCAAAUCUUGACAUCCUUUGACAACUCUAGAGAUAGAGCCUUCCCCUUCGGGGGACAAAGUGACAGGUGGUGCAUGGUUGUCGUCAGCUCGUGUCGUGAGAUGUUGGGUUAAGUCCCGCAACGAGCGCAACCCUUAAGCUUAGUUGCCAUCAUUAAGUUGGGCACUCUAAGUUGACUGCCGGUGACAAACCGGAGGAAGGUGGGGAUGACGUCAAUUCCCAUCAUGCCCCUUAUGAUUUGGGCUACACACGUGCUACAAUGGACAAUACAAAGGGCAGCGAAACCGCGAGGUCAAGCAAAUCCCAUAAAGUUGUUCUCAGUUCGGAUUGUAGUCUGCAACUCGACUACAUGAAGCUGGAAUCGCUAGUAAUCGUAGAUCAGCAUGCUACGGUGAAUACGUUCCCGGGUCUUGUACACACCGCCCGUCACACCACGAGAGUUUGUAACACCCGAAGCCGGUGGAGUAACCUUUUAGGAGCUAGCCGUCGAAGGUGGGACAAAUGAUUGGGGUGAAGUCGUAACAAGGUAGCCGUAUCGGAAGGUGCGGCUGGAUCACCUCCUUUCU